rnacentral:rRNA from 1 species
CCCUUAGAUGUUCUGGGCCGCACGCGUGCUACACUGAGUGGAUCAGCGGGUCAGGUUGCGCGAAAGUGUUUCCUAAUCUUGAAAUCCGCUCGUGAUGGGGAUUGACGGUUGCAAUUUUCCGUCAUGAACGAGGAAUACCUUGUAAGCGCGGGUCAUCAUCCCGCGCUGAAUACGUCCCUGCCCUUUGUACACACCGCCCGUCGCUCCUACCGAUUGGGUGGUCCGGUGAGGCUUUGGGAUCUGAGCAAAGAGAGCGUUUCGCUCGUUUUGCCCGGAAAACUCAGUCGAACCUUAUCAUUUAGAGGAAGGAGAAGUCGUAACA